rnacentral:rRNA from 1 species
CACUCCUACGGGAGGCAGCAGUGGGGAAUUUUGGACAAUGGGCGAAAGCCUGAUCCAGCAAUGCCGCGUGUGUGAAGAAGGCCUUCGGGUUGUAAAGCACUUUUGUCCGGAAAGAAAUCCUUGGCUCUAAUACAGUCGGGGGAUGACGGUACCGGAAGAAUAAGCACCGGCUAACUACGUGCCAGCAGCCGCGGUAAUACGUAGGGUGCGAGCGUUAAUCGGAAUUACUGGGCGUAAAGCGUGCGCAGGCGGUUUGCUAAGACCGAUGUGAAAUCCCCGGGCUCAACCUGGGAACUGCAUUGGUGACUGGCAGGCUAGAGUAUGGCAGAGGGGGGUAGAAUUCCACGUGUAGCAGUGAAAUGCGUAGAGAUGUGGAGGAAUACCGAUGGCGAAGGCAGCCCCCUGGGCCGAUACUGACGCUCAUGCACGAAAGCGUGGGGAGCAAACAGGAUUAGAAACCCUAGUAGUCCCGA